UGGCGGACGGGUGAGUAACGCGUGGAAAACCUGCCGUAUACUGGGGGAUAACACUUAGAAAUAGGUGCUAAUACCGCAUAAGCGCACAGCUUCGCAUGAAGUGGUGUGAAAAACUCCGGUGGUAUACGAUGGUUCCGCGUCUGAUUAGCUUGUUGGUGGGGUAAUGGCUCACCAAGGCGACGAUCAGUAGCCGGCCUGAGAGGGUGAACGGCCACAUUGGGACUGAGACACGGCCCAAACUCCUACGGGAGGCAGCAG
rnacentral:rRNA from 1 species